UUGGACUCAUUUUUAGUCAGUUAGUUCGGGUCCUAAGUAGAAUUUCAAAAUAUUUUAAGUCUUGAUCCAUCUUUGCAACUUUUAUUUUAUUGUGUUGGGGGGGGGUUCAAAAAAAUUCAUUUCCUACCAAAGUGUGGAACCAAUAAUUUUCUUUCAACGGGAGAAAUGGUCAAGAAUGAAAGUGGUGGGGAAGACUAGAUCAAGAAAAAAGUCAAGUGUGGCAUCAGAAUUUAAAAAAACAAGAACAAAAGGUUGCAAAAUAACCAGCUUAUCACCUUGUGUCAACGGGCAGGCCGAAAAUGCAAAGCAAAUGCAGAGACUUAUUUAUGAGGAAUUCAUGCGACUCUUGUGGAUUGGAAAGAUAUGAACAUGGACCAGCGGGCAGUUACUUUUUCGCUGCAGGAUAAGACUUCCUUCUUCUUCACUUUAGGACAAGAAUUACGCCAUCGCCGCAGGACAAGAAUUACAUCUUCAGAUAAGAUUAUAAUGGUCAGGAGCAAAAACUGGGGAAGAAGACCGGAUCAAGAAUAAUGCUAAAUGUACGCAGCGUCCGAAUAACGGAUCAGUUCAUCACGUCCUCUCAACGGACAAAUGAACGACGAGACUGUUGAAUGUUAUUCAGAAUGACUCCGUUGGGUAAUUCUUCGAUUGGAAAGAAAGGAAACUAAGGAUACGGCGAACUACUUCUUCGGUGCAGGACAAGAAUUACGUCUGCGGACCACUGCAGUAAUUACAUCUUCAGUUAAGUGUAUAAGCGGGUACAUAAAUAUGUGCAUAGUAAUAUUUAUUUAGAGAAUAUGUAGGCGUAUAGAUGAAAAGAAGUAAAUGCUUUUACUCCAAAGUUUCCCUGCAGGAAAUGUUGAAUUCAAAGCAAGUACUUAUUUUCAUGUGUACGUAUCUAGACUUAAGUUUUGAUUAAUGUGUAUAAGCACAUAGGUAGCAAUGCACGUCUGUAUGGCUAUACAUAUGUAUUUCAUCCAUAAAUAGAUGUAUUAAUGCAUAUUUAUGUAAGUCAGAAACCAGCAUUAAUCUCUACAAAGGUAUGUACGUACAUACGUAUGUUCUUUCGCAUGAUAUUUGUAAAUAUGCGCAUAUUAAGGAAUUGCGAAGGAAAAGUACGUUUAUGCACUUUUAAACUCUGAGCGUGGAGCAAAAUAGUACGGAUUGAAGUUAUGUUGUACUUGGGAGGAUGGGAAUCUUGCCAUGUGUAUUGGCACGAUUAAAUUUCACAAAUCCAGAUAUUAUUUGUUCGUCUUCAGCAUUAUUUCUGUACUGGUUGAAAUCUGUACAAAAUCCAAAGAACUGAACUCUGUCUGUGCUCACAAUCAUUUUCAUAACUUGGUGUGACAGGGAUUUGGAGAAACGCGUCGGGAAACGCGUCAUUUUAUAUAUAAUGGAGAUCAAAACAAACAAAAAACAUUUCAAAACCCUGGAAGUAAAUUUUGACAAACUUUACUAAAAUUUAAAACUGCAUCUGACUAUGAACACGUUAGCGUUUCUGGUAGCGCAGGUUAUAAACUGCGUUUAGAUGAUGUGGUAAAUAUCUCACCUUGUCAGCUUAAUUCUACUCGGACGAAAAAUUCAAUUGCUCAAAACAUGCAAUUGUUGCAGGGUGAGAGGGACCCUGCAGGGGACAGGCCCAAAACUUUGUUGCUUGUUUUAAUACACCAGUUCUUAAAACGUUUUCCGAAAACCAGUCAACUUGAUCGCAGUCUCUAUUGCAGAUAUUAUGUUCUGCGAACAUUUCAAUAGUGGACCCGAGCGCAAACUAAUCAGUGGAUCCUGAACGGUUAGGUUUACUCGCUUCGAGGAAACUUGCUCGAGAUGUGCGCUAAAAAUAAGUAUUUAGGGGGCUAGAAUUUGAGUGGGGGCGGUGGGGAUGACGGUGGUUGACGAUGGUGGAGUCGUCGUUGUAAUGCGCACAUUUGGUUUAAUUAUCGGUAGGAUAAUAACAUGUCUCGUCGUUGGCGGGUCUGCCUUCAUGGUCAAUGCACGUUCUGUCGUUUCAGAUCGUCUUGGCACAGUUUUCACAGUUGUUUACUGAACUGUGCAACAAAAAUAAAGAUGCCCGUGAGCAAAGUUAAUUUUUUGCCGAAUGCUAAGUAUGAAAGAGUGCUAAACAAACAAACACGGUUUCUUGGUUUAAAUUACAUACAAAUCGUCAUAUUCCUCUGGAAGUAAUUAAAAAGCACAGAAUGUAAACUACGAUCACAAGAAGAUGGGUAGUUACUGUUUUGUACCCGAUAACUCAUUAAUUUCUAUCAGUACCAAUAAGUCCGCGAAAAUUGUUCUGGGGCGUUUAAUAACGUUUUCGCACAGUGUUGUCUCGUUAAAAUGUACACGGUAUGGUACACUGUAUGCAUUUGAUUCUUCAAAUAAUGUAUUAAAUUGUUCAUGUGAAAUGAGUAGCUGCACUCACAAGGGAACAUACCGAGGUGUCCAACGAGUUAAGGGUCGACACCCAUACCAAAAUG